rnacentral:lncRNA from 1 species
UGUCUCAUCCAUCCAAGUGAGUGGUCACGUAUAUUACCAAGUGGAAAAAUCUAGUAGAAGGGCAAAGUUGAAGCUUUUUAGAAGGAAGCCUCAACUUCAGGUUUUCUCAAAGUUUCAUGAAUGUAGUAGGAGCAUCAGAGAUAUUUGCUGAAUUGAAUUUAUGCCAGUUUGUACCAAGAAGAACUUUUAUCCCCCUGUGGGAAAAAAAGUCCCAAGAUGUUUCUUGGUGAAAGAUGGAAGUCUGAUGCUUAUUGGCUAUGCCUUGGUAGCAUGGAUUUAAUAAUUUGGACAAAAGGUCAACAAUCUCAAGGAAACCUUUUACUUCCUGUGGUUCAGUGAAGGUGAAAGUGGAAUCUGGAGGUCUUGCCAUAUGUAAAUGAAUGAUAUCCCAGGCUAGCUUGUCUUCUCCUGGAGGGAAAUUCCCCACUAAUUGCCUAAGAACAGACUUUCUGAUACCCUUGACCAUCACCAUCACCAUAGCCAGUUAUCUCGACUUUUGUUUUCCACUGGACUUGGGCAACUCUGGAAGAGAUAGUGAAGUUGGACAUUUUAUCUCACUGAAAUCCAAUUCAUACACAACUCAAGGUAUCACUCUGACGUCAUUUGUCUUCUAAAAUGAAGGAUAAACAACAUCAACUGGCACACUUAAAAAUCACACCUUAGAUCUUACUACUCUGCCCAUGCACCAACUUUCUUUAUUCUUACAUUGAAUUACAUUGAAUUGUCCCUGGAAUCGGUAGACAUUUGAUAUGUCUUUCACUGGAGUUUCUUUACUCAGAAGAUUUGAAUGCUUUCUGUGAUUGCUGAGGAUGAACUCUACUAGCAUUUAAGGAAGCUUUGCUUUCCCCUUUCUGAAAGUGGAGAGGCUUGUUGAUGUCUCUCUCUCACAACUGUAUUUUGGGGACAUCCCUAUCCUAAUGGGUACUCUGGAUCACUUUGGUUCAGUCAACAUGCAUUGAAUUCCCAAUGUGUACAAAGCUCUGUGUCAGGUUUCGUGGAAGGUACAAAGAUGCGGAAGGCACAGCCCAUUUCCAUUAAGGAAUAUAAAAUAUAGUAAGAGAAAUAAAACAUAUACACCAUAACCA